rnacentral:rRNA from 1 species
CCUACGGGAGGCAGCAGUGGGGAAUUUUGGGCAAUGGACGCAAGUCUGACCCAGCUACGCCGCGUGUAGGAUGACGGCUCUCGGGUUGUAAACUACUUUUGUGGAGUACGAGGAGAAGACGUUGCCCCUUUAGUAAUCCACGCCUAACUACGUGCCUGCAGCCGCGGUAAUACGUAGGUGGCAACCGUUGUCCGGCGUUACUGGGGGUAAAGGGCGUGCAUCCGGGCGGACAAGACAGAUGUGAAAUCCUCGGGCUUAACCCGCGAACUGCAUAUGGCAUUAUAUGGCUUGAGUGCCUGAGAGGGAGUUGGAAUUCCACGUGUAGCAGUGAAAUGCGUAGAGAUAUGGAAGAACACCAGUGGCGAAGGCAGAUUACUGGGCGGUAACUGACGGUCAGGCGCGAAAGCGUGGGGAGCAAACAGGAUUAGAUACCCCAGUAGUC